GUCCCUUCCCUGCUGACUCUCUGUCUCUCUCUGUCUCUCUCUCUCUUUCAAAAAUAAACAAACAUUUAAAAAAAAUUUUUUUUAAUAGAUGCAUCAUUUCAACCUCUGCCAACAUAUUCACAGGGCAAUCUCCUGUCUGUGGAUUUCUGUGUCCAAAUUUCUCUCUUCUUACAAAGAUACCCAUUAUUGGAUAUCUAGUAUGACAUCUUCUGAACUCCGUUAUAUCUGCAAAGACCCUAUUUCCAAGUCCCAUCACCUUCAUGGGUAUCAGGGGCUAAGAUUUCAGCACCUCUUUUCAGGGGACACAGCUCAGCCCACACCACCUCCUAAGUAAAGUUUAAGAUUUCUUUGCUUUUUUAGUCCCAGAAUAGAUCUCAGUAAUGGUAUAACAUAUGAUAUUCAGAAAUUCCUUAAAUUAAUUUUUUUCUGUUAUCAAUUUGAUAAUUACUUGGAUUCAUUUAUUUCAGUCUUUUUUCAAUGCCAGACUUUGUUUUUUCUGCACAUGUUCAGUUUUUUCUUUAUUAAUGAAUUCUUAUUUAUUGAAUAGGUAAACCAUCUCCAUGGUUUACAAGUCAAAACUAUGGGAAAAGGUAUGCUCAGAAGUCUUACCCUCGGCCCCACCUCUGGAAGUAACCAAUUUUACUAGUUUCUCUGUUUUCCUUCCUGGGAUUCUUACUUGAGAUU